GAUGAACGCUGGCGGCGUGCCUAAUACAUGCAAGUCGAGCGAACAGACGAGGAGCUUGCUUCUCUGACGUUAGCGGCGGACGGGUGAGUAACACGUGGAUAACCUACCUAUAAGACUGGGAUAACUUCGGGAAACCGGAGCUAAUACCGGAUAAUAUAUUGAACCGCAUGGUUCAAUAGUGAAAGACGGUUUUGCUGUCACUUAUAGAUGGAUCCGCGCUGCAUUAGCUAGUUGGUAAGGUAACGGCUUACCAAGGCGACGAUGCGUAGCCGACCUGAGAGGGUGAUCGGCCACACUGGAACUGAGACACGGUCCAGACUCCUACGGGAGGCAGCAGUAGGGAAUCUUCCGCAAUGGGCGAAAGCCUGACGGAGCAACGCCGCGUGAGUGAUGAAGGUCUUCGGAUCGUAAAACUCUGUUAUUAGGGAAGAACAAAUGUGUAAGUAACUAUGCACAUCUUGACGGUACCUAAUCAGAAAGCCACGGCUAACUACGUG
rnacentral:rRNA from 1 species